ensembl:lncRNA
CCCGGAGGAGUACUGGAUGGGUGGGAAGCUGGACCAAGACCCAGCUUUGAUGGUUUCAGCUCAGGUGUGCUCAUCUUCCGAGAGCUACACUGGGCAAGGGUGAGGGUAGAUUUCAUGACAAAUAAGACCCAGGUCCACGAAUGGGCGACAUGGAUGCCCCCAUUCAAGUCCAAGCCCACUGUGUGCUGGGGCCAGGAGGAGAGGCCGAGACUCAUGGGUUAGAGUCUAGGCACACCCAAGACUCUGUAUUCUACUCUCAAGACCCGGGAGAUGGGUAUGAUGACAUGGACAUUAUGCUCAGAGAAAAACAAUUUGGAUGGGGCUAUACGGCGGUUUGAUCCUUUAAUGAGAAUAACAGGACUGAGGUCUGGCCUUCUGCGUGGAGCUGUGACCUGAGGGUGGCCUGGAGGGUCAGGUCCCCUGAGCAGUCGAGAUAACUUCCGAUUCUCUCUGGACAAACCCAUGGGGCAUCAGGACACAUCACCCCAACCCUGGAGGGGGGCACAGACAGAGAAGGUGCAGGCUCAGUUCAUUCUGGAUUCUGAAUGAACUUCGUUUUCCGAAUACCCUCCAUUGCUCAAGAACCUGCAGUGCCAUCUACAGCGCAGACUGCAGGUUCCUCAGGCUGCGGGUGAGGUGGUUCACCGCAGGCCCCAGCACCCCGCUGCAGUUCCACCUGGCCCUGCUCCCAACCACGGCACCUCCUCCAGGCGGACUGGUCCUCUUGGAGACUGCUGACAACAAGCACACUUCUGCCUCCUCCUAAAGCCUGCUGAAACCAUCCGCUGCACCGUAAUGCUCUCCCUCCUUCUGUCUAGUCCCAGAUCACACCUUGUGCAAAGCCCACCUCCAGAGCCACCUCUGCCUUCCCUUGAAGAUCUAGCUUUUACUGUCCAUCAUUCACUUGGUAUUUUAAAAUAUUCUGCUUGGUAGCAUCUCUUUCAUAUAUCAACCUAUUAUCUGAAAGGUACUUAAAAAAAAAAAGACAAGGAAAAAGGAAAGGCCAACAUCAGUAC